GAGUAUAGUUGACGUCAGCGGCGCAUGCGCAACAGAACGGACGGCACUGCAGAAGCAGCCGAGUUCGCGAGUGUAUCGAUUUUACGAUCGUGUCUCUCGCCGCUAGUGCGUCCGUUUCCUUUAGUUUUUAGUGGUCGUGCUCAUAGUACAUGGAUAAAAUCGUGAAUGGGAUUAGUCACUAGUCUCAUCGUUCCGUACACCCGCUGACUCGCAACACUUUGCCACCCUCGCCAUGACUAAGGAUAGAUUAGCAGCCCUCGUUGCGGCCCAGUCGGACGACGAUGACGUGGCGGACGAUGUUUCCGUCAACGUUGGCGGGCCAGAUGAUUUUAUGACCGAAUUUUUCGCGGAGGUGGAGGAGAUCCGCGAAAUGAUAGACAGGAUCCAGACGAACGUAGAGGAUGUGAAGAAAAAACAUAGUGCCAUCUUAUCGGCACCACAAACCGACGAAAAGGUUAAAAUGGAAUUGGAAGACCUGAUGUCCGAUAUCAAGAAAACGGCCAAUAAAGUCAGAGCUAAGUUGAAGGUGAUAGAACAAAAUAUCGAGCAAGAAGAGCACACGAACAAAUCUUCGGCGGAUUUGAGGAUACGCAAGACACAGCAUUCGACGCUUUCGAGGAAGUUCGUCGAAGUAAUGACGGAGUACAAUCGAACGCAAACCGAUUACAGAGAACGGUGUAAGGGAAGGAUACAACGACAGCUGGAAAUCACCGGUAGGACGACCACCAACGAGGAACUGGAGGAAAUGCUGGAACAAGGAAAUCCGGCGGUGUUCACGCAGGGGAUUAUCAUGGAAACGCAACAAGCGAAACAGACGCUCGCCGAUAUCGAGGCGCGUCAUGCCGACAUCAUUAAACUAGAAAAUUCGAUCAGGGAACUUCACGAUAUGUUCAUGGACAUGGCGAUGUUGGUAGAAAGUCAGGGUGAGUUAGUGGACCGCAUUGAAUACCUCGUGGAUCAAACCGGCGACCACGUUGGCCAAGCCUGGGAGGAGCUGAUCAAGGCCGAGGAGUAUCGAAGCAAAGCUCGUAAGAAAUUGAUGUUCAUCGUAAUUUGCCUGACAAUAGCGAUCAUCAUUCUCAUAAUCAUUCUGGUAUAUGCGUUGUAAGAAGAUAGAUCGACGAUACGAGGAUUUCAGUGAAGCGGUACGAAAGCGAACACGAAAGUGGACCAUGAAAGAAAAGUAAAAAAAAAAGACAAAAAAGAGGAAAGGCAAUGUUUUCGUUGAAUGGCAGGGCACACACACACACCCAGCCACCUCGCAGAAAAAGGUCGCGAACUAGCAACAGCUGCGGCGUUUUCGCGUAUACGCGUCGUACGUUUCGAAAGCGAACACGCCGGACGCUGUCGACGAUUUAGAAAUACUCGCACGAGUUCUCCUCGUAUUCGAUUCGUUUGCUCGAGAAUCGCGUACGCGGUCGAUGCUAAGUGCGCGCUCGUGUGCGACGCCGUUUUAAACGUCUUCCCCGAUUUUCUCGUAACCGUGUCCAGAAUUAUUAUGAAAUUUGUGUAUUUCCAGCUACGUACCUUGUCGCGUAUAAAAGUGAUCGCGUAGCACGCGUAGCCGUGGCUCGUCGAAGGUACACGAAGGUACACGAAGGUGGAUGAUGAAACCAGACGACGAUCGGUCCCAAUCGCGCGAAACGAAUUUCCAGUUAAUUUCGCACGAUCCUAAAAUAAGUAGGCGAUUGGUACGAAAGAGGUACAUGUAACGACGAUAUUUAGGGCGGAUAAUCUCGUUAACCAGAAAUUUACGAUUUUCUCGUAUCUGAACGCGUAUCGUGUCUAUGCAGCGAUGCGAAAAGAGAGCAAAAUAAAAAAAAAAAAAAAAAACGAAAAGAGAGAAGCGAACGCGCGAAUCUAGGAUUCGUUUGAUGCGACACGAUCGGACGAUCCGGCGAGAUUUGGGAGGAUCAAGAGCACACGAACAGUUUGCCAGCAAGUGGUCAGUGACACACGCAGAGAGGCAUGCGAAACACGUGCGAUUUAAAAAGAAGAUCGAAUACGAUGUUUGCGUGGGUGUUGUGUACGCGUAAAGAGAAGAAAGAAGGGAGGCGUGAUGCAACGUGGCGUGUAGCAUAUACCACCGAGGAGAUCAAAGUAGUUACGAUAGGAACGAACCGCUAAAUUGCGUACCGUGUUGAUAAUCGAUCAUUAUGUUUUUGUCGAUGCAUUGAUGCCGAGCGCAGAAGAAGAUCAUGAUCAUGGUCUGCCUUGCUAUACUCGCCGUCGUUCUGACUACCACCAUCGGUGGAUAUUUUGGGCUGUAAACGCCGCACCCAGACAAAUCCGAAGAAGUUGCCGUCGCGUUCGUCACGGCGAAACGUCGGCAACGUUCGAGUCCAGACAAAUCGGCCCGAAACAACAUUGGACACCUCGGCCGUUCCAAGUCGCACGAUCGUCGUCGACUGGAACUUCGCCAUUGUCAACGGCAACAGCAACAACACUGGCUCGAUCGCGAUGUUGUCGACAGGCCUUUUGUCCGCGCGUGCCGCUCCUCGUCCUACGGAUCGUCGCUGUAUUUUGCCUUCUGUUACGCUUACGCGUUAACGUAAACGCGUCCAACUUCUUCGUCAUCAGGAAGGAGGAAAGAAGAGGAAGAGGAGCAAAGAAAGGACGUAGACACGAAUUAAGAACGAGAACGGAAACGAGGAAAGCGAUAGCUGAUAGAACGAAGAAUCGCCGUCGUCGUUGUUUGUUUGCGCGAUCGUCGUUUGUCGCCUUAGCUUCGCCAUCGUUGACCGAAUCGCCGUCCUCCUUAGUUUCUUUCCGUUUUCACGCGCUUCCAUCGACAGACUCGAUGCGCGGAUAGUUUCGUCGCUAGCCUCGCUUCGUUCCACUUUCUAUCAUCGAGCGUAAAACUUAUUAACAGCGCCACAGUGAUCUGUCUUGGUAGGCUCGGUUUUCGCUAGAUCUCAACCUCGUCUUUACCCCUUUUUCCAACCUCUCCUUCCGUACGCGAUCGGUCAUUUCUCAAUUGCGGUAAAUAGCAAGUAGCGAGUAGCAAAUAGCAAAUAGGAAAUACCGACAGCCAGAAACGCGUACACGCGAGAAACGAUUAAAAGGCACGGACGACGUAUAGCGACGAAGCGACCUUGUUGUUCGACGACGUAUCGAAGCGGCAAAAUUCGUGUCGGAACGUCAACGAGCGAGCGGCGAAGCGAGUCCUUCGUCGAUCUCUCUUGAACGAUCACGGUGCCUAUCGCGAUUAUUGGUCGUUGCACGGCCGACAAUCAACGAGACGAGGAUGACACGCGUGAUGUUACGUCGGAGUCGAGCGACGAACGUCGUUUACUUUCGCUCGUACGCGAUCGAUUUUACUCGAGGCUACCGGGCCCUACGUACGUAGGUACGAGCGGAAAGAAAAUAAGCGGUGCUCUCGCGGGUGACCGCCUGCGAGAAUAGGUCGUAUCGAUGUAUCUCGUUCCGAGCCAAGCCUAACACCCAAUGGAGUUUUUCUGUAACGCGAGGCGUCGCGCGAGGCUACCGAGUAACCCUCUCGUUUUUCACGCCAUUUUCGGCGUGGUGCGCCGGCUCUGGUAGCCGUGUCCAAUUAAACCGACUACCUACCGAAGUGCAUUCUUUUGACUGUGAUUUUUAACCGAGCUUGGAAAUUAGUUCUUUACGGACCUCUCGAAUGUUUCGAACGCUUUCGAGCAUAGUCGCGCGAUAGUUUUCGAGACGCGCAUCACACGUACCCGAUCACUCGCCACAUAUCAUGUACUAUUCGAAGCGUGUAGAUUUCUAACGAGCCUUCCCUCUCUCGCUGCUUCUAACAUCGCCGCAACUGUCUUCGAUCGAACCGUGCCAGUUGCUAUAUCGCGUCGAGAUAAAAAUCGUCAACGAUGGUGACGUGUAAGUAAACGAACCGAGAGAACCCUCAUAUUCUCCGAACGAUAAGAAACGGCGAGACAAAGAACAGUUUGGCGAGACGCAUCAUUGGUAAAGACAGAGAACUCUGUUUACAUAGAAAAAAAGAAGAAAAGAAACAAAACCGUAUAUGUAGCUAGACCACGCGAGAGCGCAAAGGACGAAUUUCCAAGCGCGUCGCAACGUUAGGAUAGCUUUCGUUCGACGAAAUACGUAUACACCUAAGUAGUUUGUUUCUCGCUUUCGACGUGGCGUCAUCAUCGACUGGUCGAUGCAAGUUCAGACCGGUUAAUCGAGAACGACGAGUCGAAUAGUGGAACGUCAUUGACUUCGUGUUGCACGAAACGCCAUUAGGGUAUUGGGUUCGAUCGACCGAUCGGCGUAAUCGCUUUGCUUCCCUUCGCGAGAGGUCGCAACUCUUUCGAUCUUUGCCGAGUUUCGCGACUUUUCUCUCUCGAUUACACAUAACACAUACACACACACGCGCGCACACGCACGAGAGCCUGGUGUUUUGUUUUUGCAGUUCAGCUCGUGGAUAUUGAGUACGUUGUCAAGUACUCCGAAAUAAUCGGCCAAUGACCGAUUCAACGACAAUAACGACGGUACUACAACUACGACCAGGACUAUUACGACGACAAAGACUGGAACAUUCCUUUCGAUUUCGUUUCCGAUUGUCCUUUGUCCGAUUUAGUUGGAUUUCUGUUUCGCGAAUGAUCGGUCGAGAAGCGAAUAUCGGUUGAAAAUCGAAAAGAGCUUCUCGCGAGAAGCGUGCGUCGUUGUUGAAGCGAUCGGUCACACAGCGCAAGGAACAAGAUGCUGUUGAAGGACGCAAGGAAAUGGACGCAGAGACGAGGAACACGCGAUGAGGAGAGAAGAGGAGAUCUAUAAAGUUGCAGCAAUAAUAAGAUAUAGGUGUUACGGGAAACUAAUUAACGCUAAUACAAUCGUCGACGAUAAAAUCUGGAUCAUACCGAUGUAUGGUAUCUACACAAAGUGUAUACAUAUUUAUUGCUAUAUGUGUAUAUAUAUGUAUAUAUAUACACACAAAACACUCGUACGUAUAUACAGACAGAGAGAAUACACACACGAAAAGCGCGCGCAUGCGUGCGUAAUACCGUAGCUCACGAUUAUGAGCGCGAGACACGAACCAUGCAGUAACAUACACACACACACCCACACACACACAUACACGUACUCGCACACCUACACGAACCGCGCUAACGCGUUCACACAGAAAAAAUAAAAACAUAUUACAUGUAUAUAUAAAUAGGUAGUCGGCACAGUCGAAAAGAGUAAUAUAUUAACGAUGAUAAUUUAUUAUUCGCGACGCCUGUUGCUCGUGUAAACUGUCGUCUGAUAAUUGCUUUUCGGGCAAGAAAUGGGCGACGUUCGUGUUAAUGUUUUGUUGAUUAUAUUAUAUGAACGUUGAGGUACAUGCGUUUCAAAGAUUAUGGGUUAAUGUUUCAGAAUGAUAUAAGAAAGAGAUGAAACAGAGGUAAAUGGUUACGCUACACACAGGCCACGUUGCUGUAGCAACGAUAUUAAAAGUAGAAUGCGAUAAUGCGAUGAAGACGGCGAUACGAUGCUACGAUAAUAAUAAAAACGUGGCUAAUAUACAUGGUGAAAGGAGGGGGAACGUACGACACGAUCAUGAUGAUAAUGAUAACGAUAAUUAACGAUAUUUCAAAUCACUUUGCAUUGUACAGAAGCAUACUGAUUGUUAGUUUAGGUAGCUACGUUGCCACGAUCUAUUAUUUAAUCGUUGAAUACGAUUAAGGAAUAAGUAAAAAACGCGGAAAAUCCCUCUGUGACGAGUCGAUCGAUAUGCCUGGUUGUUCGAAUCGGAUCGGAUGGUAUUUUGUUGUUGUGGUCGCGAUCGCACUCGCGGUCAACGUCGUCGUCGUCGCCGUCGUCGUCGUCGUCGUCGUCGGCGGCGGAGAAGCAGGUGGAGGAGGAUCGCGAGAAGAAAAAUUUCUUUCGCUUUCGCGUAUGUGUGUUUUGUCGGUGGAAAGAAAGGGAACGAUAAGCGGCGGCGGUCCAUCUGUUCGACAGACACCCUCCUCCAAACUUGGUUGCUUCGCAUUUUGAAAUCGAAUCGAAUCGCGCGCACCAAGUGAUCGUGGUGAUUGCUUCGACGAACACGGUUGAUCGAUUGGUCGAUAAUCGUUGAUCCUCUCUCGGUGUUGGUUCGAUGCCGAUCUACGAUAUACAGGAACAAUCGUGAACACGUUAUCGGCCUUAAUGCGAUCGGUCGCGUAUCGCGUAUCCGCACCGAGACGAGGGAUCGUCGCAAACUCUCCCCUGUGCGCAUCAUUUUUGUAUAUAUCAGCCUUCGCGAUUUGGAGACAAGUCGUUCACCUUUUGUUCGACUAGCUUUAAAUCUCGCAUCUUGUCGUUAGCGUUUUUCUCAGACGCGUGCGCGCUCGUGUGUAGCGAUCCUCGCGAUAGGAAUUGAAGAAUCACAUUUACUUUCGUACCAUCGAAUAAGUUUUCCCGGCCACGAUAGAUUUAUAUGUAUAAUUUGUAAUAAGUGUAUGUAUCGUCGGUAAUCUCGACGGUCGGUAUGCGCAUAGAAUACGUAUUUUGGCCUAAAAAAAAAAAAAACUAGGAAAGAGGAACUUUCUCGUUCACACGUUAUAUAUAUAUAUAUAAUGUAUAUUUAUUUAUAUAUAUAUUACCUGUGGCUUCGUUGAUUUCCUUUCGUUCACGAGGAGAGAUUUCACGAGUGCGAAUCAAUCUUUGAUCUUAAUUCGCGCAACGGUACUGUCCGUCUGUCCAUCUGUCUGUCUAUCUGUCUUUCUUUCAUUUAUAUCCCUUUUCUUUCCUCCUAUCUUUAUUAUACGUUGUUGUUUCUGUUUUCCAAUAAAUAAAUAAAUAAAUAAAGCGAUCGAGACGGGAAACGCGUUUGCAUCCGAUGAACGUUAGCAACGCGAACUAACGAAAGACAAGACCGACAGAUGGGCUAAAGCGUGAGCCAAUCAGGAAGCAAACACGACAGCUAAAUGGGAAUUGUGACGAAGCAGAGGGAACGCUUUAGAAACCUCGAACACGACAAAGUAUCGAGAAUGUACAUUGGUCGUGUCGCAUCGGUGCAAUUAUUACUCUUCGAGAGACUAUUUCAAUAACCUUAUGAGUGUCAAUUCCACUUUCGAGCGUAAAUCGUAAGUUUGCGAAUGUUUUCAGACAAAAGAACAAACGAACAAAAAUAAAGAGCGACCGUGAUUGGGGUGUUGGUGUUAAAUCAUAACGAUAAGAGAGGUUACGUGGUCGUGUCUCUUGACUGCCACGCGGCAAAGUGAGAUUAUUAUAAUAAAUUUACAUUAUUGAGAAAACUAAUUAGGGAAUGAGAGAGUGGGAGAGGAAGGAGUAGAAAGCACGUACGUACGAACGAGCGAGCGAGCGAACGAGCGAACGAACGAGCGAACGAGCGAGCGCACGAACGAACGAACGAAAGCAAAGAAGUAAGAAAGUAAGAAAGUUGGGAAAAAAGGAAUGUGAAAAGAGAGAAUGAGAGGAAAAGUUUAGAAAGAGAAGCAACGUGCGAUCGGACGAAUGUACUGACAAACGAACGAACGAACGAUGUUUAAAAAGAUAAAAAAAAAAGUUUGAGCGAAAGAGUGCGUAUGCGUGCAUGCGAGAGAGAAACCGAUGCACGAAAGAGAUACUUUGAAGAAUUUAGCACGUUGAACAAUGGUAUGGAAAUACUUUUUAUCGUAGACACACUUCUAUUAGGCGAGAGAAUUACAAGGACGAUGAAAAGGCAAAAAAAUAGAAAAAGAAAAAGACAAAAAGAGACCUGUAUUAAGGAUUACUUAUUAAAUAAAUGAACGGUGUUUUUUCCGCCUAUGAGUCGUAUUUGCGUCGAGCGAGCACGGAUGCAUUCACUUCUCUUUCUCUCUCUCUGUUAAACGAGAACAGAACGAGAUAGAUCGUUAUUUCGUUUCCAUCUUUAAUGCGAUAUUAUUGUUAUUACCAUUAUUAUUAUCGACACUGUACAAAGUUGGCAAUAAUCUUAAGAGAUCCACCGUCGUAACGCGUUUACUAGCAGCUGUGUUUGACGACAGACAAAGAAAAAAAGGAGAGAAACGCGAGGCGAGGUCCGCGCUUGUCACCCAAUGGAGAGAAGAGAGCUCGUUGCAGCAUCGUCUAGGACUAAACAACGGGGCUGUCGAAAAUCUGACGCGCGAUCGAGCGAGGGUGGCGGUGUCCUUUCGGCAUCGCCUGAUCCUGCACAAAAAUAUGAACGCCUCUGCGAGCCUGUAUCGAAUAUACAUACGCAUUCCUGCACUAUAGACUGUAGCUCCUAUAGAUAUCCUAUAGGUCUGGCUCGCUUUGCAAUACAGAGGCUACCGAAGUUUCCAAGAAAAAAAAGUAAAAAGAGAAGAGAUGAAGGGAAAAAAGGGUACGACGAGUCCGCGCUCCGCGUGAGCGUUAAAUUGGCGAAUCGUCGAAUCUUCGUCUUUUUUUCGUCGUGAUACGAUAACCGUACAACAGUUUCGUCUCGACCUUUCGGGACAUUUUCGUCCUCUCUGACUCCCGAUUCGCCGAUUUUCCGUCGCGUUCUGCGAGUUAUCUUCGAUCUAUUGAUCUGCCGAAGCGACAACAAAAAUAAAAAAGAAAAAGAGUCAAGCGUUUACUGUACAAUUAUAUUCUUUUACGUUAACGACUUACUAUUGAGUAGAUGAGUAGUAUAUUUUACAUUACCAAAAUAUGAUAGCGUUACUUGUCUUACCCUAAUUUUAUAUAUCAUCGAAGAUACGUAUCCGCAGGAAUAACGAUUAUAGUCAGCACUACAGUGAAGUUACUAUACGUCUGUAGAUAACAAAGGUCCGCAAAGAGAUUUUAAAAACCGACACGAUGUUCAAUGUAUUUAAAUCUUCUCUCUCGAAAGAUGAACAAUAUACAAGAAUAUGUAACGGGAGUGAA